AAACCAAAAAAGUUUGAGCAGCAGCAACAGCAGCCUAAGUACAAAUUAAACGCAAACCGAACCCCCAUUGAUCGAAUGAUCAUUAUGGGGGUUACACAUAAUAAUAAUCAACAAUAUUGCAUGGGUGGUUACACAAAUUUAAUUGGGAACCUAGACGCCUGGUGGCUUGGCAGCAAGGAAACUGAUGCACUGCACUUGACGCUUGUUGUCAAAUCCGAUAAUUCGGACGAAUGAAUGUGGGUAUUCCUUCUGGACCUCCCCAACCUCCUUCAAAACCUGGGUUGCAUCUGUGCACCCAUACAUGGGCAGCUUCCACAUUGUCCAGUAGCGUCCAUCGUAGUAUCCUGGUGAGCUGUGGUGCUCACGGUACACCCAUCCUUUCUGCAGUCACGCCACCCAAAAGAAAAAACAAAAAAAAAAAAAUCAAAUAUCACCACCCAUUUGCCUGAUAAAAUCCGCUUAACCCAAAAGCUUAGAUUUUAAGUAAGCAAUUGUUAAUGCAGGUUUUGAUAUUGAAUGGAUAUCUCUGACCAAUAGAUUCAUGACAUGUGUAAUUUUUCUCCUAAAGCACAUAGAUAAGGUUCCGUCAAAAUAAUAGUAUAUAUUAAGAGAGACAGAGAGAGAGAGAGAGAGAGAGAGAAAUGACCUCCAACUCGAAUUCCAAGCAGGGAAUCCAGCCGGAGCGGAGAAGGUAACUGAUUUCCUUGAGCAAAGCUUCAUCGGACAGUGGCGGGAGGUAUGAGAGAGUCUCGAACUUCUUCAAGCCAGUUGGUGGCCACACCUGUAACAUACAAGCUCACAAGAAAAUUAAUUAAAAACAUAAUUGAGAGCUAAAAGAAGAAAGCCGUCAAUUUAAAGAAGCAAAAGAAGAAAUGAAUUCUUGUAUGAUUAUGAUGAUGACCUUCAUGCAUUGGACUCUUCCGCCGUUGCUUGCAAUGGAAGUAAUGUCAUUGUUGGUCUUCUUGGUUGCUGGGAAAGCAGAAGAAGACUUGAGGCCGGUGAAGGGGGCGACCAUGCUGGCCUGAGCAAGGCUGGCGCGGUUCGCGGUGGCAACGGUGGUCGAUGAGAUCAUUGAGGAAGCCAUUGGUACUUGCUCCUUCUUCUAGCUUUGCAAGUUCUUUUACUUAAUAGGAGGAUGCUCAGUGGCCAGUUG
rnacentral:lncRNA from 1 species